rnacentral:rRNA from 1 species
GACGAGCCUCACAAACGUUAUUCGGAAUUACUGGGCUUAAAGGGUGCGUAGGCGGUGCGGCAAGUUGGGUGUGAAAUCCCUCGGCUCAACCGAGGAACUGCGCUCAAAACUGCCGUACUCGAGGAAGAUAGAGGUGAGCGGAACUUACGGUGGAGCGGUGAAAUGCGUUGAUAUCGUAAGGAACACCCGUGGCGAAAGCGGCUCACUGGGUCUUAUCUGACGCUGAUGCACGAAAGCUAGGGGAGCGAACGGG